rnacentral:tRNA from 1 species
GCGCGAGUAGUAUAGUGGUUAUUAUGUCUCACUCGUAUUAAAAUGGUACGAUUAUGAGAAGGUCGGGAGUUCGACUCUCCCCUUGCGCA